rnacentral:rRNA from 1 species
AUGGAGAGUUUGAUCAUGGCUCAGGACGAACGCUGGCGGCGUGCCUAAAACAUGCAAGUCGAACGAGG